AUUGAACGCUGGCGGCAGGCCUAACACAUGCAAGUCGAACGAGUGGCGGACGGGUGAGUAAUGUCUGGGAAACUGCCCGAUGGAGGGGGAUAACUACUGGAAACGGUAGCUAAUACCGCAUACCAUCGGAUGUGCCCAGAUGGGAGUAGCUAGUAGGUGGGGUAAUGGCUCACCUAGGCGACUAUCCCUAGCUGGUCUGAGAGGAUGACCAGCCACCCUGGAAUUGAUACACUGUCCAGACUCCGUCGGGAGGCAGCAGUGGAGAAUAUUGCACAAUGUGCGCAAGCCUGAGGCAGCCAUGCCGGGGGUAUGAAGAAGGCCUUCGGGUUUUAAAGGUCUUUCAGCUAGGAGGCGUUGCUCGCAGAAGAAGCACCGGCUAACUCCGUGCCAGCAGCCGCGGUAAUUC
rnacentral:rRNA from 1 species